rfam:Schistosoma margrebowiei strain Zambia genome assembly, scaffold: SMRZ_contig0000357
AUCCAGCUGAUGAGUCACAAAUAGGAUGAAACACGUGUCAAAAUGGAU